rnacentral:lncRNA from 1 species
AGACACUCCAGGUCAGGCUGGAGUGGCUCUGAGCACCCUGAUCUCACUGUAGGUGUCCCUGUUCACUGCAGGGGAGCUGGGCUAGAUGGCCUUCAUGAGUCCCUUCCAACUCAAAGGAUUCUAUGAUACCAACAAAAGCAGACUCCAUUCCUACCUUUAGAAUGAAGGUGGGUGAGCACAGACCAGCAGGCGGAAUGCUGAGCCGCUGCCUCCCACUCCUCUUCCCCUCAGAGCUCUCAGCAUCUGAAGCUGGGCUGCAAGGGCUGUUAGCCCCACAUGUAAUUCAUAAAGCCAGCACUGGGCAAGGUUAUGGCAUAGAGAGCAAGUGUCUGCUUGAUUGCAACUGGGAAGCUUUACACUUCCAGCAUCUCCUCAGCACAAGGGAGACAGAGGAGGUGGCUGCAGUGGCAGUGGGAGCAGCAGUGCUUGCCAAGGCCUCUGUGCACUAAGGACUGAGAAAAAGAAGGCACAGAGGGCUCCCACCUCCAUCUCUAGGCAGCCAUGAGGCACAGCCGUGCUCUGCUAGGUGCUGUCCUGAAGCUCCUGCUGCGUGCUCUGGAGGGGGGUACAGCAAUUCUAAGUUUGUGCAGCAGCCUACACAACUCAAGUGAGCUUCCUCCAUGCUCUUACAGCUGUUGCAGAGUAACACUAUCAAAGAAUAGCAGUAACGGCACUCUGCUGUAUCACGGGAACCGAGGCAGUGCUGCAGGCACCUGCCCGAAGCACCACGCUCACAUCACGCACUGAGAGCUGCUUUGCCCUGUGGCUGCCCGCUGCGGCUCUCACAGCCCACCAGCACUCCUCCUCCGGGUUUUGGUGCCUUUCUGCUGCUGGUGCCCGCUGGGGGGAGCCGAUGCCCGCUCAGUGCUGCUCCGGCUGCCGGCCGGCAAACGUCUCUGCACAAAAUCGAGGUGGGAACGACAGCCACCAUUGGGCAGCAGGGAGCGAAGCGGCUCUUUCACGGCCUUGGAGCCCCUUCCGCUCUGUUUCUGAAAUCAACAGGGAAAGGAAGAUAUACCCCCCACAUGCCUCCUGUCACAGGCAACAGUAUCUGAAGGAUGCUUGCAGGUUUCCCAGUCUCUUUUCUUCCUUGGAGAAAAGCCCAGGAGGAGGGAAUGAUGCUACAGCCACCACCAGCCCACAGGGAAAGCGUCCUGCAGAGAAACAGCACAUCUCAGCAUCCCUGGGGCUCGCUGAGCACUGCAGGAUCAGCAGUUAG